rnacentral:lncRNA from 1 species
UCCGUUCAACAAUUUCUUACUUCUCCAUUGUUUUAUAUGUACAUUAUAAAAGAAACUUAGUUUGUUCAAAGGCUUAUACAGUGUUGAAGUUACACUGGUUAAAUAUUUAAAUGCUUGCUGCUGUAUUUGGCAACUUUUGAACUGCUAAGCAGUACAUACUUAAGUCCCGAGAGUGACAGAAAUGCACAGCUACUAAAAGCAACUAGUUCCUGUCCAUGACAAAUGGGGUCUGAAUGUUUACAGACUUGAAAAUGAUGAAGCUGUUAAUUAAUGCUUUGUGCAGAGUGCUUUUAACAUUAAAAUAAAAAUGUGCAUCUCCAGUUUGUGGUGUUUUGUUACAUAUAAAUGUUUUUAACCUUUUGAAGUUAUUUUGCUGGUUGAAGAACUUGCUUCAAAAUGUUGCCUGGAAACAAAAUAACAUGAAAAGUGUAGGCUACAGUUUAAAAAAAAAGAAAAACGAAACAUAACUAAUUUAAAAAGUAGAAAAACUAGGCCAUGACUAAACGGGGAAAAAACUAGGUCACAUGAGGCAGAUAAAAUACUGAGUAACAUAAACAUUACCUUAUUUCUCCAUAGAGACUACACACCUCCUUUAAUGCAUUAAGCCCCGCCCACUAAGAUUUUCUAUUGGAUUAACUCCCUGUCAAUUUUAAAAUUCCGUUUGUUCAUUGGCUCUUCCCCUCUCGUCAACUUAUUUCGAUUCCAUACGCGCCAAACAUUGUAGGCCGUGUGACACACUUAACGCAAAUACUUCGAAACAACACGGUUUGUGGCCAUUGAUAACUGAAAAAUCCUGUUUGUUUGAAAGCAAGUUUGUGUCGUUAUUUUUAUUCAAUAGAGCCGUCUAAAAGGAAAGAAGGAACAAUCCCUCUCUCUGUCUCCAAGGCAGCAGGCAGUAAACUGAAAGCACAGCAAGUGUGUUGUUGUAACGAGCAGUGUGCUGGCGCUUCGGCGAUGUGGCUGACGCAGGGCCGGAGGAGCAGCCCCAGGGGCGACAGUGUUUGUGCUGCUGAGGAUGAAUGCAGUGUGAUGAAGACUAGACUCCUUCUGCAUGAACCGGUCCCUUCCUCCGCGCGCGUUAUUUCUUAUAUAGUUUGUAAAUCAGCUUUGUUUGGAUAUUAUUAAUACUUGGGGAAACAAUCUAUAUCACCUUUAUUUGUUGUCAUUGGUCUAACACUGAAAAAAAGCGACUUUUUUUACUUAUUUUUUUUUUUUUUUUUUUAAAUUAUGGUAGUUCAGCAAUGAGUUUCAGAGUGUUUGCUGAAGAAGAUGGUUUUCUUUAAUACUUCGCCCAAAGCAGAUUAUUGGGUUGCUUUUGUUAACCCUCAUUUUUUUCGAAACUUCUAUGAAUAUUUGGAUGACAAGAAUAUGUAAUACAGAAUGCAGCCUC